CCCAAGAAGAAGCUUGCUCUCGGGUGACGAGCGGCGGACGGGUGAGUAAUGUCUGGGAAACUGCCUGAUGGAGGGGGAUAACUACUGGAAACGGUAGCUAAUACCGCAUAAUGUCGCAAGACCAAAGUGGGGGACCUUCGGGCCUCUUGCCAUCAGAUGUGCCCAGAUGGGAUUAGCUAGUAGGUGGGGUAACGGCUCACCUAGGCGACGAUCCCUAGCUGGUCUGAGAGGAUGACCAGCCACACUGGAACUGAGACACGGUCCAGACUCCUACGGGAGGCAGCAGUGGGGAAUAUUGCACAAUGGGCGCAAGCCUGAUGCAGCCAUGCCGCGUGUGUGAAGAAGGCCUUCGGGUUGUAAAGCACUUUCAGCGGGGAGGAAGGCGUUGAGGUUAAUAACCUUGGCGAUUGACGUUACCCGCAGAAGAAGCACCGGCUAACUCCGUGCCAGCAGCCGCGGUAAUACGGAGGGUGCAAGCGUUAAUCGGAAUUACUGGGCGUAAAGCGCACGCAGGCGGUCUGUCAAGUCGGAUGUGAAAUCCCCGGGCUCAACCUGGGAACUGCAUUCGAAACUGGCAGGCUAGAGUCUUGUAGAGGGGGGUAGAAUUCCAGGUGUAGCGGGUGAAAUGCGUAGAGAUCUGGAGGAAUACCGGUGGCGAAGGCGGCCCCCUGGACAAAGACUGACGCUCAGGUGCGAAAGCGUGGGGAGCAAACGGGAUUAGAUACCCCGGGGAGUCCACGCCGCAAACGAUGUCGAUUUGGAGGUUGUGCCCUUGAGGCGUGGCUUCCG
rnacentral:rRNA from 1 species